rnacentral:tRNA from 3 species
GCCCCUGUGGCGGAACUGGUAGACGCGACGGAUUCAAAAUCCGUUUCCUUCACCGGAGUGCCCGUUCGAGUCGGGCCAGGGGCACCA